ACAACGGCUCUUUUAAGAGCCACACACACCCAGUUUAA
rfam:Xiphophorus maculatus strain JP 163 A Contig11243.1, whole genome shotgun sequence.